GAUGAACGCUGGCGGCGUGCCUAACACAUGCAAGUCGAGCGAACGGACGAGACUUUUGCGUCGCUGAUGUUAGCGGCGGGUGGGUGAGUCACACGUGAAUAACCUACCUAUAAGGCUGAGGUAAGGUCAGGAGAGCGGAGCUCAUACCGGAUAAGAUUUCGAACCGGAGGGUUCUAGAGUGAUAGACGGUCUUGGUGUGACUUCUAGAUGGAUCCGCGCUUCAUUAGCUAGUUGGUAAGGUAACGGGCUACCAAGGAAACGAUGCGUGGCCGACCCGGGAGGGGGAUCGCCCACCUUGGAACUGAGACACGGUCCAGACGCCUACGGGAGGCAGCAGUAGGGAAUCUUCCGCAAUGGGCGAAAGCCUUACGGAGCAACGCCGCGUGUGUGAUGAAGGUCUUCGGAUCGUAAAGCUCUGUUAUUAGGGAAGAACAUAUGUGAAUGUAGCUGUGCACAUCUUGACGGUACCUGAACAAAAAGCCACGGCUAACUACGUG
rnacentral:rRNA from 1 species